GGUUGUUUUGGUAGCUCCUAUGCUAAAAUUGGAACAAUAUAGAGAAGGUUAGCAUGGCCCUCGUGCAACAGUGACAUGCAAAUCCAUGAAGCAUUUCAUGUUUUU